rnacentral:rRNA from 1 species
GACGAACGCUGGCGGCGUGCUUAACACAUGCAAGUCGAACGGAAAGGCCCUGCGUUUGUUGGGUGCUCGAGUGGCGAACGGGUGAGUAACACGUGAGUAACCUGCCCUUGACUUUGGGAUAACUUCAGGAAACUGGGGCGAAUACCGGAUAGGAGCUCCUGCUGCAUGUUGGGGGUUGGAAAGUUUCGGCGGUUGGGGAUGGACUCGCGGCUUAUCAGCUUGUUGGUGGGGUAGUGGCUUACCAAGGCUUUGACGGGUAGCCGGCCUGAGAGGGUGACCGGCCACAUUGGGACUGAGAUACGGCCCAGACUCCUACGGGAGGCAGCAGUGGGGAAUAUUGCACAAUGGGCGGAAGCCUGAUGCAGCAACGCCGCGUGCGGGAUGACGGCCUUCGGGUUGUAAACCGCUUUCGCCUGUGACGAAGCGUGAGUGACGGUAAUGGGUAAAGAAGCACCGGCUAACUACGUG